UACGUAGGGGGCGAGCGUUGUCCGAAGUUACUGGGCGUAAAGCGCGCGUAGGCGGGAAAUUAAGUGAGAAGUGAAAGGCUGGGGCUCAACCUCAUGCAGUGCUUCUCAUACUGGUUUUCUUGAGGGCGGUAGAGAAAAGUGGAAUUACCGGUGUAGCGGUGAAAUGCGUAGAUAUCGGUAGGAACACCUGUGGCGAAGGCGGUCUCCUGGGGCAGACUUGACGCUGAGGCGCGAAAGCUGGGGGAGCGAACGGG
rnacentral:rRNA from 1 species